rnacentral:lncRNA from 1 species
GAAAAACUGAAGCUACAAAAUGGCCUGGUUUCUCACUUCAGUUAAAUUUGUGCUUCUGAGUGCUUGUAUUGUAGGUGAAACCGCACUGAGAAGGUAUUUGUGGCCCGUAUGCUGAUUGAUUGAUGAGACUUCUUUGCACAGGAGAGCUGCUAAAAAUUAUUACGGUGAACAGUCUUGUUCCAGUGGUUCAUCGGUGACUUCUGUGGCUUCG